rnacentral:rRNA from 1 species
AUUGAACGCUGGCGGCAUGCCUUACACAUGCAAGUCGAACGGUAACAGGUUAAGCUGACGAGUGGCGCACGGGUGAGUAAUAUAUCGGAACGUGCCCAGUCGUGGGGGAUAACUGCUCGAAAGAGCAGCUAAUACCGCAUACGACCUGAGGGUGAAAGCGGGGGAUCGCAAGACCUCGCGCGAUUGGAGCGGCCGAUAUCAGAUUAGGUAGUUGGUGGGGUAAAGGCCCACAAAGCCAACGAUCUGUAGCUGGUCUGAGAGGACGACCAGCCACACUGGGACUGAGACACGGCCCAGAAUCCUACGGGAGGCAGCAGUGGGGAAUUUUGGACAAUGGGCGCAAGCCUGAUCCAGCCAUGCCGCGUGCGGGAAGAAGGCCUUCGGGUUGUAAACCGCUUUUGUCAGGGAAGAAAAGGCUUCUGCUAAUACCGGAGGCUCAUGACGGUACCUGAAGAAUAAGCACCGGCUAACUACGUGCCAGCCGCCGCGGUAACAC